rnacentral:tRNA from 1 species
ACUCCCACCCCUAACUCCCAAAGCUAGGAUUCUAAACUAAACAAUUCUUUG